UGCGCAGGCGGUUUUGUAAGCCAGAUGUGAAAGCCCCGGGCUCAACCUGGGAACUGCGUUUGGAACUACAAGACUAGAGUGUGUCAGAGGGGGGUGGAAUUCCGCGUGUAGCAGUGAAAUGCGUAGAGAUGCGGAGGAACACCGAUGGCGAAGGCAGCCCCCUGGGAUAACACUGACGCUCAUGCACGAAAGCGUGGGGAGCAAACAGGAUUAGAUACCCUUGUA
rnacentral:rRNA from 1 species